AAGUUUUAUACUAAAAUGGUGGAAUUGCACGAUAGCUGAUCCCUAAAUACUCUCGGCGCACGAUAGCAAAGACUGCCAUUGUGCCCGGAAAUGGCUCGCCGCCGAAAGAAUGCGCCCGCCGAUGAUGUUCAGAUUGUUACCCCUGACCAUGGUGCUGCUAAAGCACGAGAACCGCUGACAUUUGGGAGUUUCCUUCCGUAGAAAUUCCAAGCCAUUGAGGAGAUUCAUGAAGCUGAAUGUGAUGAAGAUGCAAUGCAACUUCCGAUAAGCAAACCAGAUGGAAAUAUAUUCAAGCUGUGCGCCGACUUCAAUUUUCUGAGAUUAGUAAAUCGGAGGUGUCCUAUCCAACUGCAGGUGAGGUUGUGCAAGGAAAUCGUAGUGCUCUAUCCAACUGCUUAAGCGAGGACUAUUUGAAACCCCAGGUUGAGUACUGGAAAACCUCCUUAAUAGGGUAUGUUAUUGGAGAGGUUCCUUUUGAGAAAGCUAUGGACAAUUUUGUGUUGCAUGUGUGGAAUUUUGUCUCUAAACCUCAGAUUCUGAUUCAUUCUAAGGGUUACUGCUUUUUCCGGUUUAAUUCGAUUGCUGACAGAGACCAAGUUAUACAAUCAGGACCUUAUUCUUAUAGGAAAAAACCGCCGGUAUUGAGACCUUGGGAGAUUUAUUUUUCCUUCCAGAAUGACAUUUUAAGUACAAUUCCUGUAUGGAUUAGAUUUCCCGGGUUACCUGUGGGAUACUGGUCUACUGAUGUGUUGAGUAAGAUGGCUAGUGCUGUGGGUAAUCCUUUGUAUACAGACAAGUUCACAGCUCAUUAUGAAAAAAUUUCUUAUGCUCGAGUUCUAGUGGAGGUUGAUGCUGCUCAUCCUCUUCCUAAUCAGUUAGAGAUUGAAACUCCAUUUGGGCCUAAGAUUCAAUUGGUUGAAUAUGACUGAAAGCCUCUGUUCUGUAAUCAUUGCCUGAAAUUUUGUCAUGAUUCUAUUGAUUGUUGGUACAUGAUUGAAUAUGACUGGAAGCCUCUGUUGCCUGAAAUUUGGUCAUGAUUCUAUUGAUUGUUGGUAUAAUACUAACUCUGAGGUUGAGAGGGAACUAAACGAAAAGGGCAAGGCAAAGAGGCAGGAUCUCAUAGGGAAAAAGAAACAUAAAGCUGCUAAACAAGAAUGGCUUGUUAAGAAGACUUAAGUACCUAAUAAUCCGCAGGAGCUGAUGCCAGAGAAAGCUGAAUCUAGUAAGGAUGAUGAUGUAGUGGUGAUCAAUACCAACCAAAUGAUGCUUCCUCACCAAGAGACUCAACAAAUCCCUAUCAAUCAGGAAAGGAUUAUAGAUACUGACAUUGAACAACAUUGCAGGAUGAUUGAUGAAUGCAAUAAAGGGAAGGCAAUUGUUGAUGUUUUAGAUUCUGGUAUAAGAGGCCAACAGAUUGACCCGGGGCCUUCUCAAAACCAAAACUCCAUGUUACUAUGAUUAUAGUCACUUGG
rnacentral:lncRNA from 1 species